GGCCGGUUGGCCCAAUGGCAAGGUGUCUGACUACGAUUCAGUAGAUUCAUCAGGAGAUUCUGGGUUCGACCCCCAGGCUGGUCA
rnacentral:tRNA from 1 species